rnacentral:rRNA from 1 species
UACGUAGGGGGCUAGCGUUGUCCGGAUUUAUUGGGCGUAAAGAGCGUGUAGGCGGCCAGGUAGGUCCGUUGUGAAAACUCGAGGCUCAACCUCGAGACGUCGGCGGAAACCAUCUGGCUAGAGUCCGGGAGAGGAGAGUGGAAUUCCUGGUGUAGCGGUGAAAUGCGCAGAUAUCAGGAAGAACACCCGUGGCGAAGGCGGCUCUCUGGGACGGUACUGACGCUGAGACGCGAAAGCGUGGGGAGCAAACAGG